AAAUUAGUUUUACCGGCGGAUUAAUACCGGCGGGACCCGCCGGUAUUAAUUUGGGAUUCUGACCGUUUUUAUUAAUACCGGCGGAACCCAAUUAAUACCGGCGGGUCCCGCCGGUAUUAAAAAUCUAUAUAAACCCCUCCCCAUUUCAGAAUACCAUUUUUUCCAUUUUCACUCCCCCCACCUUCUCCAUUCCACCUCCCCUCUCCGUUUUCAAACACAAUCCGCCCCGUUCUCCGGCAUCAUUUCCCCGACACCGCCAGUGCGCCGCCCGUCUACCACCGCCAGUGCAUCGUUUGGGAUAAAUAAUCUGUGGGGAAGAAAUUUCUGAGUAAAACGCCGGGAUCGGUUGGUGUACUAAAUAUUUGGAGGUUAGUUCUUACAAUAUUUGUGUAUAUAUAUCUCAUAAAAAUAAUUUUUUUUCUGUAAAAAAUAUUAUAUAUGUAUGUAUACUGUGUAUUGUGAAUGGAAAAUGU